AAAACAGCCUCCCCGGAUAAGACAGCUGUAACAUACUAGGACAUCUAUUGUUGUUAUAAAAUACCUAGAUCUUCUAGGGAAUAUUUUGACAGCUUUAAUAGUGAUCUGAUUCUUGGUUUUAAUAUUAUUCCUCUUACUGUAUCUCCAAAUGGAAAGAACGUAGAGAAUGACAUCAAGUGCACAGGAAAGUAUACAUUUCUACCAGGCCCUUUGCAUACAGGUCCUGUGGAACAGAGAUUACUAAACCAACAGGAUUUGAAAGGGAGUGACUGUAUCCUGACCACUAAAGGAAAAGGAAAGAAGAAAAGAGAAUAUUCUGAGACCUUCAAAAACAAUGUUAUCUCAAACUGAAAUUCACAGGGAGGAACUAUAGUUUAAGGACUAGAUCCAUGAAAAUAACAAUGAAGGAAGCAGAGGCCAUAUAAAUGUUAUCACACUGUCUGACUCAGGAUAAUUCUUCACGUUUGCCAUUGACUUAGCAGGGAUGACAACAGAAGGCAAUGUCCAGCAUCUUCUAUUAGACCCCUUGGGGCAGAAGCUGAGAGGAACAGCAAGAUUAAAUCCCAGAAGAGGCUUUAGUUGGGAAAAUAUACCAAGAGUCAAGAGAGAGCAGUGAAGUCCUUGGUUCAUAUAUAGGUAUGGUUUAAUUAGAUGAUUUUAAUCUUGUUGACUGCUCUCCUUACUUUCCUCUGCAUCCAUCAAUCUCCCACAGUUGAAAACUUAGGUUAGAUUGCUCAUGGCACUAUUUGACACAAUUCAAGUCUAAGUGUAAUAUCUCUGCUUUCUCCUUUCCAUUAGACAGUUCAAAGCCUUGAAAAUGUACUUAAUAAAAGUUGAGUGCCUGUAUAUAUGUGCGUAUAA
rnacentral:lncRNA from 1 species